UACGAAGGGGGCUAGCGUUGCUCGGAAUUACUGGGCGUAAAGGGAGCGUAGGCGGACAUUUAAGUCAGGGGUGAAAUCCCGGAGCUCAACUCCGGAACUGCCCUUGAUACUGUCUGGCUUGAGACCGGAAGAGGUAAGUGGAACUGCGAGUGUAGAGGUGAAAUUCGUAGAUAUUCGCAAGAACACCAGUGGCGAAGGCAAUCCCCUGGGCCUGUACUGACGCUCAUGCACGAAAGCGUGGGGAGCAAACAGG
rnacentral:rRNA from 1 species